rnacentral:rRNA from 1 species
AGAGAAUACUAAGGCGCUUGAGGUAAUAACGUUGAAGGAACUCGGCAAAAAUAACUCCGUAACUUCGGGAGAAGGAGUGCCUUAUUAAAUAAAUUUGAUAAGGUGGCACAGAAUUGGGGGUAGCGACUGUUUAAUAAAAACACAGGACUCUGCUAAAUUGUAAAAUGAAGUAUAGGGUCUGACGCCUGCCCGGUGCUAGUAAGAUAAAAGGAAAGGUGAAAGCUUUGAAUGGAGACUUCUAGUAAACGGCAGCUGUAACUCUAACGGUUCUAAGGUAGCGAAAUCCCUUGUCACUUAAUUAGUGACCUGCAUGAAUGGCGUAACGACUUCCCCACUGUCUCCAGCGUUAACUCAGUGAAGUUGAAUUUUCUGUGAAAAUGCAGAAUAAUAGCGGCAAGACGGAAAGACCCUGUGCACCUUUACUAUAAGUUGUUAUUGUAUUUUUUAAAAAUAUGUAGCAUAUGGGGUAGUUUAUGAUCAGUCAAAGCUAUUUGAUUUGGGAAACUAUGGUGAAAUACCCUUAUUUUUAAAUUUUACUAACUUAUAUAAACAAUAU